GGCCGGAUAUUUGUCGGAUUAACGUUGACAACUGAUCCUUUCCUUGCGUUUUCUCUCCGAGAAGGCUCCACUUUUGUGCUACAUGCUAUGAAGAAAAUUACAGAGAUGUACAGUUAUGGAGAUGGGUCAAACAAUGACUAAAAUGAAUCAAUGACCUAGGACUAAUCUAUGAUUAUAUAAUAAAUGUCAUAACCCUGUAAAGCACAAAUGAUAACUGGUAUGACAUCAAGAGAAGAAGGAACAAAAAAUCAUAUCUUGUACGCUGUCUUCUGCCCCCCUACAGCUUUGCAGAGCUGGGUAUAUUGAUAAAUCAUACAACAUAUCAAAAGCUCAUUUUUCAUCCUCGACCUCCUUCAGUGAUUUAA